rnacentral:lncRNA from 1 species
ACUUGUCGAGACAAGUGUUGUUCUCCAUGUGGGUUGGAAUAGCAUGGAAUGAAUGUAUCUCCUUGAGCAGUGGAAGUGUGGUAGACUCCGUGCGCAAGAUUUGAGUUGGGAAAUGUCAAAUCCACAGAAAAAUGUGGUCAAAAUGCUCCCGGUUCGAUCGUCGGUCCGAAAAUUUAGAACUGAGAUGGUUGAACUAAUCUUGGACCAAUUGGGGCUGCUUGGAAGGCCACAGGAGCAGGGUGGGCCAUAGAAGCAGGCUAGGCCACG